AUGGAAUAUCCCCGGCCAUGGUCAAAGCCCCUCCUCCAGCAAGCAAUGAACAAGAUCAUGAAGUUAAACCCUGCUCUUUAUGAGCUGUGGGAGAGAAUAAGAAAGGGUCUUCAGUUGUAUUCAUCUGAACCCACCGUGCCAUAUCUGUCUUCACAGAACUACGGAGGGAUGAUCAUCAAUCAAAUCAUAUGGUUUGUGGAUGACACAAAUGUCUAUCAAGUUACCAUUUCUUAUUUUCAAUCCAAGAACUGGUCAAGUAUUUCUGAAGGUUUCCUGUAUGGGCAGAAUAGUCCCCAAGUCAAGGAGAUGAGAUGCAUAUCCAUUCAGCCACAGCAUGGAACUCGCUCCAUUCAACUACGGUUGAAAAGAAAGAAAAUGGUGAUCAGGAUACUAACCAAAUACACUAAAUAG
rnacentral:rRNA from 1 species